AGGCGUUCUUCGAGGGCGUCACCAAUGUGAUGCAGCCGUUUGCUAAUAACACGGAAGAUAUGUUCGGUCCGGGAGACCGCAGGGUGGUGGGCGCGGACCGCCUCGCCAACCCCGACCGGAGCUCGUCUGCCUACUGCCGCGCAGACGAACAGGAAUUGGAAGAGGAGCUCGAAGCGCUCGCGCGCCGCAUCGACACGGAGUUCAAGAGCGCCGACUAGCUUUACACUAACUAUG